rnacentral:rRNA from 1 species
AGAGUUUGAUCCUGGCUCAGAAUCAACGCUGGCGGCGCGCUUAACACAUGCAAGUCGAACGAGAAAGCGGGGGCAACCUCGCAAGUACAGUGGCGUACGGGUGAGUAACACGUGGGUAAUCUGCCUUUAGUGGGGAAUAACGCUGGGAACCGGCGCUAAUACCGCAUAAGCCUGAGAAGGGAAAGUCGCAAGACGCUGAA